CAAACUUCAUAAGAGUGAGAAAUUAAAUGUGAAAUUGGUCUAACUAUAUUGUCUGAAGGAGAAGAUUUAAGAGUUUGAGGAUAUUUAAUGCAGCUGUGAUAAUCAAGGCCCUAUAAAACCUCUGAGGUCAUUUGAAUAUGGAAGACCUUACCUGAUGAAUUGCAAGAUUAUACAGGUUGGCCUUUCUUCUGAACUUAAUGAUAUCAUGCUGUUUGAUGUUUGGAGGAACAUUUUAUUUCUGAAGCUGAAUAGUCCCAUCCUGCUCCAUUUAGAGCUGUCCUAUGGAGGUGGGCUGUGACUUGUAUCUGGCUUUGCCUUUUCUGCCAGCAAACUGGGACUGCUGAGGUGGGGAGGAACAGACAGGCUGCUCACAUCUGCAUGGUGUCUGGAGGCAGCCCCCUGUGGCUCCUGCUUGCAUGGAGUGAUCCGAUCUGACACCGACACUGAACAACAAAGACCUUCUUGUCGUGGUGUUUCCUCUUGCUGCAAGUUGAUUGUUUACAUGAGGCCUCUUGAAACUUCAGGAAAGUGUCACUGUUGAUCAAUGCUUAGCUAAAUAGGAAUUAGAUGUUUUGCUUUUGCUUUUAUCUAUACUAAAAUUGUCUUUGUUACCUUCUGUGAGGGAUGUUGCCAGCUCUGAGAGAUUGAUUUAAGACUCAUAUUAAAGAAGGGGGUUGGGACCUGAUCAAUGAAACACCUGAGCUAAGACUUCAGUGAGGAAUGUGAAUCAUUUUGGCAGGUUGUAAAUAUUAAAAUUGAUAUGAAGUCAGAGACAUCAUUUUUUUGUUAACUGGAGCAAAAGAGUCAAUGUAGAAACAGAUUAGAAAUUGAGUUGGAAGUAGAAAAUGUUGUCAAGUUUACUUUUCUACAACUUAUCAGAUGCAUCUAUCACUGUCUUGAAAAAAGGAACUGGAAGUAUCAGGAAGGAAAGACUGCUGUGUAACUAAAUGUUAUUAUAAAUAUUAUAAAUAACUAUUAUAGUUAUUAUAAAUGGAGAGAGGGAGGGAAGGAUGCAUCCCAGGCUGAAUGGACGUUUGUGGAGUAAAAUAGCUCAGUAAAUUUUCUGGUGAAAACAGCAAAAUUUGGGAUUAAACAUGUAGUAUAAAGACCAUGCAAAGAACCCCCAAGUCAAUGGCAAUGGUUGCUGUCUUCUAAAAGUGAUCCAGGUUUCCAGCGUGACUUCUCUGCAGCAUGAAAGAUUAAGAAAGAACUGGAAGUGCACCCCAUUUUGAUUAAUCUACCCCCAAAAAAAAUAAUAUUAUCUGAGCUAGCAAAAAUACUUAAACAGGAUUUUGUUCACUAAACAAAAUAAAACUUCUCUAAAGUUAGAUUAAGACUGGUUG
rnacentral:lncRNA from 1 species